rnacentral:rRNA from 1 species
UACGAAGGGGGCUAGCGUUGCUCGGAAUCACUGGGCGUAAAGGGUGCGUAGGCGGGUCUUUAAGUCAGGGGUGAAAUCCUGGAGCUCAACUCCAGAACUGCCUUUGAUACUGAAGAUCUUGAGUCCGGGAGAGGUGAGUGGAACUGCGAGUGUAGAGGUGAAAUUCGUAGAUAUUGGGAAGAACACCGGUGGCGAAGGCGGCUCUCUGGACCGACACUGACGCUGAGGCGCGAAAGCGUGGGGAGCAAACAGG